CGCCCACCCGUCACGGGCUCCUCUCCUGCAAACCAGUCCGCUCGAGGAGGCUCCUCGCUCGGCUUGACUCGCUAAGCGCGCUCCGGGUGUCAGAUUACUGAACGUGGAAAGAGAGGGAGAAGAAAAGGAGGAGGAGGAGUACUGUACAGUCAAAAGUUCCGACUGCCAACAUUUUGCGCUUUGGGUUGGGAAACAGCGCCAUCAGGGUCAGGAGUGCUGGAACCUAUCCCAGCUAUCGUCAGGCAGGAGGCGGGGUACACCGUGAACUGGUCGCCAGCCAAUCGCAGGGAACGUGGCGACAAACAGCCGCACUCACAAUCCCACCUCGGGACAAUUUAGAGUGUCCAAUUUUUGUUGCAUGUUUUUGGGAUGUGGGAGGAAACCCACGCAGGCACAGGGAGAACAUAUCUUGUCACUGUACAUGCUCAAUGCACCAUUAGUAUUCACAAACUGUUACUGUUACACAAUUAUGAACACUUUUCAUCUAUCCUUUGAUGGCAUUUAGCAUUGUGUUUUAGCAUUAAGUGGUGGUUAGCUACUUAGCAUUUUUUUUUUAUCUUUUCGUCAUGGCGAACACUUUUUUUUUUAACUAUUUACUCAGGACAUCCUGUAGAUAACUGGCAGUGUUCCACAAGGCUCUAUACUAGAACAACACAUUUUUCUACAUUAUACUCUACAUAGUACCGCUGUGAUGGAAAACUGGUGGCGUUCCAUAAGUUAGAUUUAAUUUUACAAUCUUUUUGGCUCAAGGCAAUAUAUGCUUCAAUAUUUUAACAGUUUUUAUGAAAUUGUUGAAACCAAAUUUCAAAUUUGUGGGGAAAAAACUGAAAAAAGAAAAGCCAAUUAAUGGAGAGUCAGGCAGGAGACAUUUUUCUGUCAUAUUUUACAUCAGGGGUGUCAAACUCAUUUUUGUCAUGGGCCACAUCCUAGUUACGGUUUCCCUCAGAAGGGCCAUGAUGAUCGAAACCAUAAAAACCUUUCAUCGCCUCAUCAUAUUUACACGUGAAACUUAUGAACUCGGACUCCUACUUUGGUAAGCCAAAGAUGCCUGCAAUACCUCCAUGUUAUCAUUUAUGAUAUGACAAUUUGAAAUUUUUGUACAGAUUU